AACGUAGGACGCGAGCGUUAUCCGGAGUUACUGGGCGUAAAGCGCGGGCAGGCGGUCUGACAAGUCUGAUGUGAAAUCUCCGGGCUUAACCGGGAGAGGCCAUUGGAAACUGACAGGCUGGAGGGCAGUAGAGGUAGGCGGAAUUCCGGGUGGAGUGGUGAAAUGCGUAGAGAUUCGGAGGAACACCAGAGGCGAAGGCGGCCUACUGGGCUGCACCUGACGCUGAGCCGCGAAAGCCAGGGGAGCGAACGGG
rnacentral:rRNA from 1 species